UUUAUUUUCAAAAUAAUUUUUUUAUAAAUGAGUACUAUAUAAAGAGGUUGAAGUUUGCUAUGCAUGAUACAAGAACAAAAGAUAAUAAUAGAGUACAUAGAAAAAAAUGACAAUGCACAUUUGCAAACUUUUUCUCUUGGGACUUUUAUGCAUUGGGUUGGUCCUAUCUUCUGCAGGAGCAAUUGGUAAUGAUUCAGGAGAGGUAUGCAUUGGUGGACCAUGUCAAGAUUGCGGCAGAAGAUGCCUUAUAGGGGGAUUUCAGAAAGGUGGCUGUAAUUUAAGUUCACUAUGUUGUUGUAGUGAUCAUUUUUAAAAUAGAAACUACAUUCUAAAUAUAUGCUACGUAAUAUCUACUAAUAUAAAUAAGACAUGCAUGUUUUCUUCCAAAUCUUAUACUUUCUUGGUUGAAGCAUAAGCAUUUGGCGUAUGAUUUGAGCAGAAGUAAAAGUGGAAGACUUGAAAGAAGAAUGACUUCUUCAACUUGAAGAUGGGAAUAGAAUUAUAUAUUUAAGAAUUGGGCUGGAAAUUGUUUUCAUUUAAAUAUUAUAUAUCAUAGGUGUGAAUUAUAAUUUCUGUCCCAAUGAAAUAUUACUAUUUUAUUUUA